rnacentral:ncRNA from 1 species
UUUCAAAUGAGGAAGGGCUUACGGUGGAUACCUAGGCACCCAGAGAUGAGGAAGGGUGUGGUAAGCGACAUAAUUCUUUGGGGAGUUGAAGAUGAGCAUAGAUCCAGAGAUUCACAAAUAGGUUAACCUUUUUAACUAUUUCUUAAUCAGUGGGUAGGCAAGAGACAACCUGGUGAACUGAAACAUCUUAGUAGCCAGAUGAAUAAAAAGAAAAAUCGAUUCCCGUACUAGUGGCGAGCGAAAUGGGAGUAGCCUAAACCAUGAAAGUGGGGUUGUGGGAGAGCACAAUAUAAGCUCUGUGCUGCUAGGCGAAGUGGUUGAGUCCUGCACCCUAGAUGGUGAGAGUCCAGUAGCCAAAUGCAUCAUUGGGUUACACUCUAACUCGAGUAGCAUGGGGCACGUGGAAUCCCAUGUGAAUCAACAAGGACCAACUUACAAGGCUAAAUACUCUUGGGUGACUGAUAAUGAAGUAGUACCAUGAGGGAAAGGUGAAAAGAACCCCCAUCAGGGAGUGAAAUAGAACAUGAAACUGUAAGCUCCCAAGUAGUGGGAGGAAAAUGAUAUCUCUGACCGCAUGCCUGUUGAAGAAUGAGCCAGUGAAUUAUAGGCAGUGGCUUGGUUAAGGGAACCCACCCAAGCCGUAGUGAGAGUGAGUCUUCAUGGGGAAAUUGUGACUGCUUAUGGACCCGAACCUGGGUGACCUAUCCAUGACCAGGAUGAAGCUUGGGUUAAACUAAGUGGAGGUCCAAACCGAUUGAUGUUGAAAAAUCAAUGGAUGAGUCGUGGUUAGGGGUGAAAUGCCACUCGAACCUAGAUCUAGUUGGUUCUCCUCGAAAUGCGUUGAGGCACAACAGUUGAUUGGACCAUCUAGGGGUAAAGCACUGUUUCGGUAUGGGCCACGAUAGUGGUACCAAAUCGAGCCAAACUUUGAAUACUAGAUUUCCCCAAUAAAAGGGGUAAAGGUCAGCCAGUGAGACGAUGGGGGAUAAGCUUCAUCGUCGAGAGGGAAACAACCAUCAGCUAAGGCCCCUAAAUGACCACUCAGUGAUGAAGGAAGUACGAUUGCAAAGACAACGAGGAGGUUUUCCUAGAAGCAACCAACCUUGAAAGAGUGCGUAAUAGCUCACUGAUCGAGUGCUCUUGCACUGAAGAUGAACGAGACUAAGCAAUCUGCAAAAGUUGUGGGAUGUAAAAAUACAUCGGUAGGGGAGUGUUCCACCUCAGAGGGAAGCACUGACAUGAGAAGGUGUGGACAAAGCGGAAGCAAGAAUGUUGGCUUGAGUAACGCAAACAUUGGUGAGAAUCCAAUGCCCCGAAAACCUAAGGGUUCCUCCACAAGGUUUGUCCACGGAGGGUGAGUCAGGGACUAAGAUCAGGCCGAAAGGUGUAGUCGAUGGAAAUUGGGUUAAUAUUCCUGUACUACCCCUUGUUGGUCCUGAGGGAUGGAGGAGGCUAGGUUAGCCGAAAUAUGGUUAUCGGUUCAAGGACACAAGGUGACCCUCUAUACAUUGAUUCAAAGGUAAAAGAAGAAUCAAAUAUAGGUGUGUACAAGGUGAGUUUGGGGAUGGAUAUUCCUCAUCCUCUACUCUAUCACAAAAAGAUCCAAGGUGGCUUAUCCAAACAUUAUAGGAUGCACAAAAUCAUGUAGGAGUGCCCAUAUCAUCAAUGAGGGUGAGUAUACCUCCUAGGAGAUAUGUUAACCAUAUUGUAUUAGAUUCUUCCAUUUGUGAUC